CUUAAUUUUUUUUUAUUUUCUUAUUUUAUUUCAUAGUUUUUGAUUUCUUGACUAAUUAAAUUUGAAUUUUACUGGCAUAAGUGAACUAUUAGGAAAACCUGUAUCUUGAGAUAUAUUAUUAGUACUCGAUUUGACUUGUAUCCUUAGAUGUCCCAAAUAAUUGAUAGUAGCGUAUACUAAUAAGAAUUGCAAUGUUCUGUCAAAAUUUAAAGUAUAAAAUAAGUUGUCAAUACUACAGAUUUACUAACCCAAGUUCUCAAUAUGACAAGGCAGAGUUAAAGUAUCUACAGUAUCUUCCAAAACCUACUAUAUCCUUGGACUACUUUUGUUUAUCUUUUACUAUAUGUUGUUUGUGUUUAUUGAAAUGUGUUUUUGUGGGUGAGAUUUUACUUGCUUUUAAUUUUUCUUAGGUGAAAUUUCAUACUAAGUUUUGGAAAGAAGAAAUUUUUGAAGGUAAUGUUUCAUUGAUUUGCCAAACUUUAAUAUGGAACUGUUAGUUAUUGAUAUGAAACUGCUGCAUAAUGUUUCAAUAAAUAACUUUUAUUCACUUAUUUAUUUAUUGUUCAAUUUGAUAUAUUUAAUCCUUUUCAUUUGGGCUCAGGUUGAAGAAUUUGCUAAAAGAAAUUUCAACAAGGGGUAGAUGGGUAAUUAUCUGUUCAUAAUGAAAUUCAAUUCAAACAAAUUAAUAUUUAAUAAUAAUUUGGACAUCUCAUCCAUACAGGUGCUCAGUUUUGGGUUUUUAUUGGGGUUUUAGCUAUUGUUGUUUUAUUAAGUUAUGAAGGAUUCUUAUAAAGAUAAAAUAUUUUAAUAUAUUGUAUGACAUGCUCCAAGUAUUUUUAACAAUAAACUUUAAUCAAUGAUUAUAAUUGAAAUUAUAGUAGCUAUAGGAUGUAACUCUUACAACAUGAAAAUGGAAAUUUGGUUUAUGUAUAUUGGAGCUGUUACUUAGAAUUCAUUUAUAUAAAUUGUUAGUCAGUGGUUCCAUUGCACUAUACAUUCAUGAUAUGUGUUCGUAGCAAAACUAAAAUAUGGUGUUGCAUCAAAAUUGAGAUAAUUAAUUGAAGCGUUUUUCAAUGUAUGAAUGAAAGGCAAUUCUUAAAGCGUGGCUCUUUUACAUUUGUUUAAACAAUUAGAUGAUUUAAAGUCAUUUUCAAUAAUAUUAGCUUUUUACAUUUGUUUAAAUAAUUAGAUGGUGCUAUAGUGAUUUGUCUUGGUGGGCUCAAAUCUUUAUUAGUAAAUAUUAAAGACCUUCUCAUUGUGCAUAUUUUUGUCCAUUUUCUCUUUUGAAAUAUAAGCUAUUUUUUUCUAUCUCCUACUUCUGUUUCGUUUGUUAAAAAUAAUUUUAGUAGGAAGUUUGAUAGAAAUAAUAAGUUUGAUAGAAAAAAUAACUAUAUGCUCUUAAACUGUCCUGAUAUUAUGCUUUAAAAGAAUUGUUGAAACAAAUGGGGCCAAAACUUAUGUGUUGUUAUGUAUGAAUUGAGAUUGAUAAAGUUUAUGUCUUGUUUAAUCAUUGAUCUUAGAGGAAAUCAUCUCUAAGUUCAAAUCCCAGAUGAGAUUGCUCUGUUCAUCUUUGAAAAGUUGUAAGUGAUUUUAUUUAUGUUUUGAAUUUCAGUUCUUAGAAUAGAUAUUUUGACUUCAACAACCUGGUAGAGGUUUGAUUCUUUACCAUGCAAGUUAACUCAUCCAUCUAUAGCAAGAUGGAUUCCCAUCCAUUUAGCUUAUCUUUGUGAUGGAAUGGAUGUCUUUAUAUUGCUAUAUGAUGUCUCUGUUAAUAUCACUAAUAAUGAUUGUGUUUUCCAUUUCUUGGGAUGUUGGAACAGGUUACUGAAAUUGUUACAAGAAAUCUUGACAAAAUAAUUGAUGUUAAUUACUAUCCUAUUGAAACUGUCAAAAGAUCAAAUUUGCAUCAGACCUAUCGGCAUUAGAGUUUAAGGGCUUGCAUACACAUUCAUCUUACUUCGCAUGGACUUUAAUUGGUCUAAGGCUUAACCGCUGAAUAAGGACAUAUUUGAGACCAUAAUCCUAUGCUUUAAUAACUUUUUCUGAUAUAGAUGAGAAAGAGGGCCCCUAUGAGACAUAUAAUGGGAAUCCUAUGAGUAAGGGUAUUCUUCAGCCAAACAUGUGGGGCGUUACACCUUUAGAUUAGUGGAAUUGGAACGAUCUUAGCGAUAUGAUAGCUGAGAAUGGAGUGACAAAUUCACUUUUGUUAGCACCUAUGCUUGUUGCUUCUACUAGCCAUAUUCUUAGAAAUAAUGAAUGCUUUGAGCCAUAUACUUUCAAUAUCAAUAGUCAUAGAGUUCUGAGGGUAUUCUUCAGCCAAACAUGUGGGGUGUUACACCUUCAGAUCGGUGGAUUUGGAAUGCUUUUAGGGAUACAAUAGCUAAGAAUGGAGUGAGAAAUUCACUUUUGUUAGCACCUAUGCGUACUGCUUCAUCUAGCCAUAUUCUUGGAAAUAAUGAAUGCUUUGAGCCAUAUACUUCUAAUAUCUAUAGUCGUAGAGUUCUAAGGUUUCAAAGGGCUACCAAUCUUCAUCGAUUCAACAUCAACGUCAGAUCAAAAUAGCAACAAUGACAAGAAACUAGUUCCACCAUUGGAUUUGCACCAACCCAAGAAUAAACUAGGAGAGGUAGAUAGCUCAUGUAAUCCUUUUUGGAUGAUAAAGAUUUUGUAUUUGGAGAAUUGAAGUUUUUAAAAGAGAUGGGUGGGUUGGAUUUUGGUCAAGAUAUCAAAUUGGAACCAUGUAAGCUUUUAGAGAAAUUUCAGAGAGAAACGAAACAAGUGAAUUUGGGUUCUUCAUCUGGUUUCAACAGGAGUCAAUAUUGUUUCCGAUGUAGAAAGCCUCAGCUUGCAUUGGUUGGUGCAAAAAUUCUUUUAUUUUUGUUCAUUCAAUGCUGUUAUUACUUAUUUAUAGCUUUUUUCUUUCAAAAUUUGUACUUUAAGGUAUUUGAUGAUUUACUAGUUGACCCACAACAAUUGCUAAUGGUGACCAUUGCAACUGCAUUAAGAGAGAUUGGUUAUGAAAUUCAGGUAAAUGACAUUGAGUUUUGGACAUUUCAUCAUUUGUGAGUUUUAUUUUUAUUUUUAUUUCUUUUGUUUUUAAUAGCUUUAAAUCUGGUUGUGAGUCAAGAACACUCUAAAUGUCUUUUCAGUUGAUAACUUAGUGCUUAUAUUGCUGGGCAUGCUGGAAGUGAUAGCAGUGACUAUGACUUACAAAAUCUUAGAAAAUGAAGUUAUGGAUUCAUCUUAGCUUCAUGUGUUUUAAGUUCUUUCUUCGAAGGUGGACUCUCUUGAAGAAGGUCCUGUGCACAAUGUUUGGCGAAACAUUGGAGUUACCAUCACUAUUCUUAAUGAUAAGCUGAAUGAGAUCGAAGUUGAUUGGCUGAGGUAUGUGUGUUUGUAGUCUGUAAUAAAUUCACUUUAAGAUUGAUAUUUUGCAUGAUAGUGUUUAAUUGAAGGUACAUACGUGAUAACACAGAGGCAGAAUUGGUUUUUGGUGUGAUAUUUUGCAUGACAAUAUUGAAAAUUAAUUAUUAUGAUAACAAAAAGGCAAAAGUGGUUUUUGGUGAGCCGAUGGUAGUAGGAGAAACUCUUGAUAACAAGACAUUGGAAGGGCAAGGUUAGUAAAUUCUAUUCUAGCAAGCUCAAGUUAAACUCGAAUUUGUUUGGCCUUUUAUUUGAGUUGAACAUUCAUCUGUUCAUCAAGUGAUCAAUUUAAAACUUAUUUUGGCCCUUCCAUGUUUAUAAAACAAGGAAAAAUUGAAUUGCAUCCUCCAGCUGAGUCUACAGAAGUUAAUGUAAAACCAAGUGAAGUAGUUGAAGGCAGUGAAACACAACCAGUUUCUUCGUCGAAGAACUUGGAAGAUCAUGAGAUGCAAAAGGAAUCGAAUUUCGAGAAGAAUCUAUCUGGAAGAACUCACCAUUUUGAGAAUCAGAAUUCCAUGAUGGAAGGUUAGUACUCUUCUGUAAGUAGGUACUAAAAGAUACUGAUACAUCAUAAAUAUUAAUUUGUUUUGAAAGUUCAUUUAGAUACACAAUAAACACAAGAUAUCCACCUUAGUUAUUUGGUACUUUUUUUGCAAAGAUGACGAGGGGACUAGAAAUUCAAUUUUUGGUGCAACAUCUUCUACUUGACUUGAUUCUGUACCUUAAGAACCUGCAGUUCUAGAGCCUAAAGAGCGUGAAUUAGCCAAAAUCCAUACAAAGGGCCGUGUUUUAAGAUAGGAUCGAGAAGGCUUACCAAAAGAAUCCCAAUUUGGCUUAGCUUGGUUGUGGACACCGAGUUUUCUAGGGAAGAUGAUUUAAAGGCAAAUAGCUUGAAAGAAAGUUGUGGAGUUGACUAUCUUUAUUGGGAUUCACAUACUAAGAAUGUACGUAGACUCUUUUAACAUAGCACGGGUCUACGUUCUAGUAAUCAUAAUAAUAAUAAUAAUAUACAAUUAAAUUGGUCAUCAA